UACACUUUGCAAUGAUUCGUAGAUUUCGAUCUUUCUUAAGGUGGUUCCAAAACUGUUGUAUUUUCUUGAGACAAAUUCUUUCAUUUGUGGUGGUAAUGACAUUUUGAUCAAACUACGAUGAUAUUGGAAAGUUGUUUCUUUUGUGUUUCUUUUCCUCUUGUUAUUUUGGCGAUAGUGAGAAAGAAGAAACAAAUUGAUUUUUUUAUGCCUUUUCCGACCCUUCAACACUCACACAUCUCUCUUCCUUCUCUCGAUUUCCAAUCUUUGUAUUUUUUAGAAUGAUUAUUCUGCAAUGCCUGAAACAAUGGUUGAACAUAAAUUUGAACUCUUUCUUCCCUUAUUGACUGACCCUUUAUCAAUCUUGGUAUAAUUUUUGCAAGGUCUGAAUCGCUGGUUGAAUACAGAGAUAGAACUUGAUUUCGUUGUGCCCUUUCCGACCUUUUAUCAAUGACAUGUCUCUAUUGAGAAACUCUUGCUUCAGCUUUGGACGGUACCCACCAAUCCACCACAACCACCCAACUAAACUCCCUAGUUCCUGAACCCACAAUCUCAGUUCCAAAGUUACAAGGAAAGUGCAACAAACCAGACACUCAAAUCAAAUUAAAAGAUAGUAACUCAACACACAAACUCACACCACAUAAACCAGACAUAAACACACUCUGUUCUGUUUGCAGCCACUCCCAC
rnacentral:lncRNA from 1 species